GCUUGGGAACAUGCCUUGAGGUGGGGGACAACAGUUGGAAACGACUGCUAAUACCGCAUAAUGUCUACGGACCAAAGGGGGCUUCGGCUCUCGCCUUUAGAUUGGCCCAAGUGGGAUUAGCUAGUUGGUGAGGUAAUGGCUCACCAAGGCGACGAUCCCUAGCUGGUUUGAGAGGAUGAUCAGCCACACUGGGACUGAGACACGGCCCAGACUCCUACGGGAGGCAGCAGUGGGGAAUAUUGCACAAUGGGCGCAAGCCUGAUGCAGCCAUGCCGCGUGUGUGAAGAAGGCCUUCGGGUUGUAAAGCACUUUCAGUCAGGAGGAAAGGUUAGUAGUUAAUACCUGCUAGCUGUGACGUUACUGACAGAAGAAGCACCGGCUAACUCCGUGCCAGCAGCCGCGGUAAUACGGAGGGUGCGAGCGUUAAUCGGAAUUACUGGGCGUAAAGCGUACGCAGGCGGUUUGUUAAGCGAGAUGUGAAAGCCCCGGGCUCAACCUGGGAACUGCAUUUCGAACUGGCAAACUAGAGUGUGAUAGAGGGUGGUAGAAUUUCAGGUGUAGCGGUGAAAUGCGUAGAGAUCUGAAGGAAUACCGAUGGCGAAGGCAGCCACCUGGGUCAACACUGACGCUCAUGUACGAAAGCGUGGGGAGCAAACGGGAUUAGAUACCCCGGUAGUCCACGCCGUAAACGAUGUCUACUAGAAGCUCGGAGCCUCGGUUCUGUUUUUCAAAGCUAACGCAUUAAGUAGACCGCCU
rnacentral:rRNA from 1 species